rnacentral:misc_RNA from 1 species
AGAGAGAGAGAGAGAGAGAUGGAGCCACCAGCAGCACAGGCCAUAGAGAGGAAUUACCAGGCAGGAGAAGAUGAACAGGACAAAGUUAUCAAUGAAUGUUGUUCUUGCUGUUAUGAUUGCACAGAGAAUUGCUUUGAUUACUUGUGCUGUUACAACCUCUGCUAAUUAGGAGAGAAAUUAAAACUCUCGGAAUCACUGUUACUUACUUACCAUUACCAUUGAUGUAGAAACUGGUUUCUUGUGGAUGGGAAAUCUUCCACAACUUAGUUGAAGAAUCACAGUACUUUUUAUUUCUUUCUUUUUUCCUUUUAAUUGUUUUAUGGGUAUAAUGCAAAUUUCGUAUUACUGGUUGGCUGUUUCUAGCAAGGAAAAU